GCCAAUUAAUAUCUCCUCUUGGGCUUAAAUUGAAACACGUGGGCUGAACCCACUCAACAGAUGCGUCCUCAAGGUGAAUAGUUCGAUGUCGAGGAGAAUGGUUGUAUAGAUUCAAAUUGCUCAUUUAACUAACAACGUCAUUCAAAGAUUGAGUUAAAAAUAAUAAUCAAAGUUCUUUAUUCUUUCCCAAAAACCAAAAACUUAGUAACUUAGUAUAUAUUACCUUCUACCAUAGCUUGGGCUCCUGCGAUAUCUAAGGAGAGUAAGACUCCUACGCCUUUGAAAACCCGUAUGGUUCAUGCAUUAACUGGCAAAACAGUCAUGCUCAGCAUACUGGGAGGAUUUUAAAGCAAAACCAAAACGGCCAUGCCCCCUAACACCACCACCACCUUUGCCACCACUUCCAUCCCUAGAAUUGUGAGAAAGCUCUACUCUCCAUCCAUUUGUACUUGUUCCAAUUAAUAAGGAUAUGAUUCUAGCAUGUUACAUACGAAAUUUAACAUCCCAUUAAUGUUGAUUGAAGAAAAUGCAAUAUGAUAAAAUAACAGAUGAAAAAAUUAGCACUCGAGGAGAAUUAACAUUUCAAUAUUGAAUGAACAUAUGAGGUGGUAUAUAAUUUUGAUGUAUUUAAUAAUUCUUUCUCUCUAACAUUCACCAGCCACUUCAUUGGAAAUACUCUCAUGUACUUUGGAGAAAAGCAGAAUGCAAAAGAUGGUUUUUAGAUUAGUACCUUGAUUUAUCGUGAGUAGCUUUUGCUUCUGGUACCAGAUGUAUUUCUAACGAAGUAGAAUUAGGAAGUAAAUAAUAGGCAUCUCCAUGCUUGCCUAGAGUAAGCUUUGCCACCACUUCCACCCCUAGAAUUGUGUGAAAGCUCUACUCUCCAGCCAUUUGUACUUGUUCCAAUUAAUAAGGAUAUGAUAUCCGGCAUGUUACAUAGGAAAUUUAUCCCAUUAAUUUUUAUUGAAAAAGUGCAACAUGAUAAAAUAACAGGUGAAAAAAUUAGCAUUUAAAUAGAAUUAACAUUUCAAUAUUGAAUGAACAUACGAGGUGGUAUAUAAUUUUGGCUUCCAUCCCAAAUGGAUCGGGCACAACUUUAGUAGCAGACAUAGAAGAAGAAGCAAAUCUUUAUGCCGAUUUCAGUGGAAAACGAGGUUAAGUUGAAGACGCACCUGUGCAAGGGCAGGAGUAGCCAUUACUUGUUCAAAUCGCCAUUCAUAUUGUUUCAACAACUGAGUAAUCGAAAAAUCCACUCCAAGCAUGCAAAAAAAUUUCGUGACAUAAAGUAAUGACUCAAAGAUAUUGUGGGUUCACUGUCACCUUAUUUCUUAUCUGAAAGAAUGUCAACAUGUAUAGUCAUGUAUGAGUAAAUGGCCCAAAAUUUAUUCAAAUUUGAAAUGUAGAAAAUAGAGGAGUUUCUUUUGAAACAAUAAUUCGAAUGCAUAAAGAUUAAUUACUGUUGGAGGAAAUAAAUAAAUUUAAUAGAUAAUUACCUUGUGCAUCAUCUCAAGCUUUUCCCUGUACUUAGUGUGGUAAAGAUCUUCAUUCAUUGACAAGGAUGUCUCAAAAUCAGCAUCAGUCUCAAAC
rnacentral:lncRNA from 1 species